GAUGAACGCUGGCGGCGUGCCUAAUACAUGCAAGUCGAGCGAACAGACGAGGAGCUUGCUCCUCUGACGUUAGCGGCGGACGGGUGAGUAACACGUGGAUAACCUACCUAUAAGACUGGGAUAAAUUCGGGGAACCGGAGCUAAUACCGGAUAAUAUAUUGAACCGCAUGGUUCAAUAGUGAAAGACGGUUUUGCUGUCACUUAUAGAUGGAUCCGCGCCGCAUUAGCUAGUUGGUAAGGUAACGGCUUACCAAGGCAACGAUGCGUAGCCGACCUGAGAGGGUGAUCGGCCACACUGGAACUGAGACACGGUCCAGACUCCUACGGGAGGCAGCAGGAGGGAAUCUUCCGCAAGGGGCGAAAGCUUGACGGAGCAACGCCGCGUGAGUGAUGAAGGUCUGCGUAUCGUAAAACUCUGUUAUGAGGGAAGAACAAAUGUGUAAGUAACUAUGCACGUCUGGACGGUACCUAAUCAGAAAGCCACGGCUAACUACGU
rnacentral:rRNA from 1 species